AUCAAGCCUCGCGAGAGCCGUGGCAAGCCUUCAGCCAAUCCGAAUGUGCGCCGACUAUCCUCUUUAUAAAGAGCCUCUAAUGAGAGACUUCCUUUUAUAAGAUUCAAGAAUGGCUGCGUGUAUGACCUUCUUUUCCAUCUCUGUGACAAAACCGCCAACACAUCCACAACUUAAAGGAGGAGAAGUUUAUUUUGGCUUACAGUUUUAGAGGAUUCUGUCCAUGGUUGGUUGGCUUCAAGGCAGAAAUGGCACGGCAGAAGGGCACAGCAGAGGAGAGGUGUUCACCUCAUGGCAGCCAGGAAGCAGAGUGAGAAGGGAGGAGCUGGGGACAAAAACACAACCUUCCAGGUCACGUCCCUAGUGACUCACCUCCAACCAGUCCCUACCUAAUAGCGUGAGUCAUACUGGUGAUCCUCACUAUAGUCAGCUCCUCGGAGUGGUUGGUAAGGCCCUCGGUCUUACAUUUUGGAGGCCCCAGCAAGAUCCCCAGGUAGGAACCCCUGAUUCGGCCGAGACUCCAUGGCAGGAUCCAGCAGGAGACCCUUGGGCACAGACCUCAGAAAAACCUCCAGAGGUAAGCUUUUGGCCGGUUGCAACCGUUUGUUAAGCCAGGAGUGAGGUGGCUGAUGAGCCGGUAAGCCUCCCCUGACCCUGAGGUUCCUGACGAGGAACAAGGGAAGAUUUAGUUUCAUUUUGUCGCGGCGCCGGUUCAUCUUGUCUUUUGUAUGUUAGUGUUGUGUCUGUUGUGUGUCUGAUUUUACAUUUUUUUUCCAAUCCUCAUCAGGAGCAGAGUAAUGGGAGGAUCCUGUUCUACCAGGUCCACUCCAUUUGACUGCUUUCUCACUAAUUUUAAAUUAGCUUUUUCUCCAGAACAAGAAGAUGAAUACAGGGUAAAAUUUUCUCGCAAAAGACUCUGCUCCCUGUGCCAACUGGAAUGGCCAGCCUUUGGGGUGGGAUGGCCAGCCAAAGGGACUUUUGACCUCAGUAUUUGCCGGGUGUUUUGGGGCAAGAUCACUGGUUGCCCUGGCCACCAGACCAAUUUCCCUACAUAGACAUCUGGGUUCAGGCUUGUGAGGAACCUCCAGCUUGGCUGCAGUGCUGUUCCCUUCAAACAGACACUCGCAUUUUAGUUACUGCCCUGAAAGGACCCCAGGGACUUAAGACCUGGGCUCCCAAGCCGGUACUCUCGAAGGAACCUGACCCCCUAGACCCCUUGGGAGGGCCUCCGCCCUAUGUGGAAUCCUCCACCUCCUCAGAUGGAUCCGGCUCUAGACCUCAAAAUCCUUUCCUUCCUCUGUUCAACCUUCGGCUCUUACCUCUCUCUAUCCUCCUCUCCCUGAGGGGCCCCAGUCCCCAGACUCUGUGACUUCUCCCCCACACACACGAGCUGGGGCUGUGUAUGGACCUAGCGAGGUCCCCACUGAGGGAACUAGUUCGUCCCCUCUCUUGCCCCUUUGGGAGACAGAGAAAGAUCACUAUGUUUAUAUCCCUUUUACUACCAGUGACUUAUAUAAUUGGAAACAUCAGAAUCCUCCUUUUUCAGAGAAACCCCAAGCUCUAAUCUCUCUCCUGGAGUCUAUCUUUCAUACCCAUGAUCCUACUUGGGAUGAUUGCCAACAACUCCUCCAGGCCCUGUUUACCUCAGAGGAGAGGGAAAGAAUCCGGGGACAAGCUGUAAGGUUGGUAUUAGGCGGAGCAGAGGGGCCCCUAGAUGAGCAACAGCGGGCCCAUAUUGAAGCACAACUCCUGUCCACCCAACCCCGCUGGCAAGCUAAUGCCUUGGGUGGGAGAGAAGCUCUCCAGAACUAUCAUCAGCAUCUCCUGGCUGGCCUGAGGGGAGCCACUCAGAAGCCUACCAAUUUGAGCAAGGUAAGCAAGGUCCUUCAAGGAUCAGAGGAAUCCCCUUCUGCCUUUUUGGAGCAUCUGUUGGAAGCAUACCAUACGUAUACUCCAGUCGAUUCAGACGCCCCUGCAAAUCGGCAGGCAAUAAACUUGGCAUUUGUUACCCAGUUGGCCCCAGACAUUAGAAAGAAGCUGCAAAGGCUAGAAGGAUUUGAGGGAGAGAAUAGAGAAAAGUUGAUGAGUGUAGCCAUGAAGGCGUUUAACAACAGGGAUCCCCCGGAAGAGAGAAUGGCCAAGAGACUGGGAAAGAUGGAGGAUUUGUCCAGAAAGAAAGACCUGAAAAAAUUAUUAUGGUAAUGAGGAAGAGAAGAAGGUAUUUAAUAAAUUUAUUUAUAUCAGGGUCUGAGUGUAUGUAUCAUAGUGAGAACUCUAUGAUUGACCAUGUAACGAAUAAUGCUACUGAUAUAAAUAUAAUGGAAAAGUAGUCUAGCUUAAAGCUUAUGUUGAUGGUUAGGGUUUGAAUAGAUAUUCAGUUUCAGUUGGAAAUUACUAAAGGAGAGAACAAGGGAAAAAUCUGACCCUUUUUAGAGAAAGAUCAGUGUGCCUAUUGCAAGGAAAAGGGUCAUUUUAAAAAGGAUUAUGAAAAGCUAAAAAGGAAAAGAGAGAAGGAGGCCCAAAAGGAAAAAGGUGGAAUCCUCUUAGUAGAUGAAGAUUGAUGGGGCCAAGGCUCAUGGCUGCUUAACCCUAGUGAGCCUAUGGUGACUUUGGAGAUAGGAGGAACAAAUGUUCAGUUCCUUGUGGACACUAGUGCAGCCCACUCUGUCCUGAAGACCCCCCUUGGACCCCUCAUUUCCUUAAAAACCUCCAUUACUGGAGCCACAGGAAAGUCGGCCUCCUACCCUUGGACCCCUAGACGAACUGUGAAUCUAGGAAAAGGCACCAUCACCCAUUCCUUCUUAGUUAUCCCUGAGUGCCCAUACCCAUUGCUGGGAAGAGACUUGCUGUGAAAGUUGGGGGCUAUUAUUUCCUUUGAGCCUGAAGGAGGGACUUUCGAACUCAAGCCACCCUCUGCCAUUAUGGUAACGGUACCCCUAGAAGAUGAAUUUAGAUUGCUAAAGGAGGGUGCAGAGCCCCCCCGAACAAAAAUGGGACUACCUUCAGAAAAAGUUUCCCAGGGUGUGGGCUGAAACCAAUCCACCUGGGCUGGCCAACCACCAUGCCCUGAUGGUGGUCCAAUUGUUGGCCUCUGCUACCCCUGUCCGUGUGUGACAAUACCCCCUCCAGCUGGAAGCCAAGGUGGGGAUCUCUAAGCACAUCCACCAACUCCAGGAAGCCAGCAUCUUAGUCCCUUGCCAGUCAGCCUGGAAUACACCCCUGCUUCCUGUGAGGAAGCCUGGCACCUCAGACUUCAGACCGGUACAGGAUUUGUGGGAGGUAAACAGCCGGGUGGAGACUGUCCACCCAAUGGUACCAAACCCUUACAUUCUGUUGAGUCUCAUCCCUCCUGCUCAUGUGUGGUACUCGGUAUUAGACCUCAAAGAUACAUAUUUUUCAGCCUACCCCUAGCACCAGUGAGCCAGCCCCUCUUUGCCUUCGAAUGGACGGACCCAGUCUCUGGGACUACUGGACAGCUGACAUGGACCUGGCUGCCACAGAGAUUCAAGAACUCCCCCACUCUGUUUGGGGAAGCUCUCAGCAAAGAGAGCUUUUCCCCAAGCAACUAUUCUUCAGUAUGUAGAUGACCUCCUAGUGGCAACUUCGACCGAUGAAGAGUGUCUUGCAGCCACUGAGGGCCUCCUGGAAGUCCUCCAAGAACUGGGAUAUUGGGUGUCUUGGAAGAAAGCUCAGCUCUGCCAGACAAAGGUAACCUACUUGGGCUACAUUCUUGAGGAAGGGAAGAGGAGGCUAGCAGAAUCACGGGUAUCAGCAAUUCUCCAGAUUCUGGAACUGAGCUCAAAGAAACAGGUGUGUGAAUUCCUAGAAGCGGUUGGGUAUUGCAGAAUUUGGAUCCUUGGCUUUGCUGAAAUGGCCAAACCCCUGCACGAAGCCACCACAGGGGGAGAUACACCCCUCAAAUGGACUGAGGCUUGCCAGCAGGCAUUUCAAUUGCUUAAAACUGUGCUUGCAUUGGCACCAGCCCUGGCACUGCCAGACUUAAAUAAGCCCUUCACUCUGUAUGUAGCGGAGAAAAAUGGGGUAGCCAAGGGAGUGAUUACUCAGCCUUUGGGACUGUGGAAGUGGCCAGUGGCAUACUUCUCAAAGAAGCUAGAUCCAGUGGCCCAAGGGUGGCCUACCUGUCUGAGGACAGUAGCAGCAGCAGCUGCUCUAACCCGAGAGGCUGACAAACUGACAUUUGGACAGGAUUUGACUUUAAUCACUCCCCAUGCCAUUGAGCCCUUGUUGAAUAGCUCGCCUAGCAAGUGGCUGUCUAAUGCCAGACUGUUGCAAUACCAAGGACUCCUGUUGGAACAGCCACGUAUUAGGUUUUCCACCACUGCACAUCUCAACCCUGCGACUCUGCUCCCAGAGUCCAAAGAGGAGGUGCCCAUACACGACUGCCUCGAGAUUCUCGAGAACUUGUGGGGAGGGUGUCCAGAUCUAAUGGAUCAAGCCCUCCCCCAGGCUGAGGCCACGUUCUAUACUGAUGGGUGCAGCUUUGUGCAAGAUGGGGUUUGAUACGCUGGAGUGGCGGUGGUCAACCAAAGUUGCCAAGUAGAAUGGGCAACAGGACUACCCCCAGGGACCUCCACCCAAAAAGCUGAAUUGAUUGCUUUAACAAAGGCUUUGGAAUUGGGUAAAGAGAAAAGGAUCAAUAUUUAUACUUACAGCCAAUAUGCUUUUGCCAUGGCCCACGUACAUGGGAAAAUUUACCAAAAUCGAGGUCUCUUAACCUCUGAGGGGAAGACUAUUAAAAAUAAGACUGAGAUCUUGGCAUUAUUGCAAGCCAUUUGGCUGCCCCAGAAAGUGGCCAUCAUACAUUGUAGGGGCCAUCAAAAAGGGUCCAGCCCCAAAACAUUUGGAAACAGUGGCGCCAACCAAGCAGCAAUAUAGGCUGCUCAAAAAUCAGUGGGGAAACAGUUGGUCCUGCACCCCACCCCAGUAUUGCCAGAUAAACCAGAUUAUACCAAGGAAGAAGUAGAAUACAUGAAAAGAAAACAAUGGAAAAAGGGGGAUCAUGAGUGGUGGACCACCAAAGAGGGAAAAAUAGUUUUGCCGGGAGCCCUGGCAGACACCCUGCUCCAAGAACUACAUGAGUCCACUCACCUUGGAGAAAGACAGAUGCUGGCGGCCCUGCAGCCCCACUUCAUCAGCCAAGGACUGACCCAAAAAGCUGAAGACCUGGUAAGACGAUGUCCCACCUGUCUUCAGGUAAAUGCCAGCCAAAUCACAGGACCCCCAGGAAUUCAAUAUCGGGGAGUAAUGCCAGAACACUGGGAAAUAGACUUCACUGAAAUGAAACCUGGCCUGUAUGGACUUAAGUAUCUGUUAGUCUUUGUGGAUACCUUUUUGGGUUGGAUAGAGGCCUUCCCUACCAAAAAGGAAAUGGCUGAAGGAACUGUAAAGAAACUUUUGACAGAAAUAAUUCCCCGAUUUAGAUUGCCAUUAGCCCUGGGGUCCAACAAUGGCCCAGCCUUCACGGCCAAGAUAUCCAAAUUGAUUAGCAGUGCCUUAGGAGUAAAAUGGAAUUUACAUUGUGCAUAUAGGCCUCAGAGCUCAGGGCAAGUAGAAAGGGCAAAUAGAACCUUGAAGGAGACAUUGACCAAAUUAAGCAUGGAGACUGAACAGGAAUGGGUCGAGCUUCUCCCCUUUGCCCUCUACUGUACCCAGUGUACUCCAAGUUUGCCUUCCAGUGUAUCCCCCUUCCAGAUAAUCUACAGGUGAGUGCCCCCUCUCAUCCCUAGAAUUGAUUUAGAAUUGACAGAAAAACUCUCUCACCUCCAACUCCUUAAAUCACUGAAAGCCAUUCACCAGCUUCAGUCAGAUUUGCAAGAAGAAAUAAGAAAAUCUAGGGCUCACCCUUCAGAAAAAACCCUUAUCACCCCUACCUUAUAAGCUGGGAGAUUUGGUUUUCAUUCACAGGUUUGAUUCCAAAAAUUUGGAACCCCAUUGGAAAGGGCCAUUUCCCAUUAUCCUAACUACCCCUAUGGCGGUGAAGGUUGCUAGACACUCUGUCUGGAUCCACUGCAGCCAUUUGAAGGAGGCAUCUCCUGAGGAAGUGAGGUCAACACGGCGGAUCGACCAGAACAAGAAGGACCCCCUUAAGAUAAGAUUGAUCAAAAACUAGCUUGGACAAUAUGGGGGCUCAUGGGGUUACUGUCCUUACCAGCCCCGAUGGAAGGAGGAUCUGUGCUGUCCAGCCACACUCCCCAGAAUUGGACCUGGUCCCUUAAAAACUCGCUCACAGGAGCCCUAAUCACCACUAAUAUGACAGAUCAGAGCCCCACCUUCCUUGUAGACUUAUGUGAUUUAGGACUAGUCACUCGGCCUGUGGGAAUAUUGGAAGUAGCGGGGCCAUGGUCAGCCCCCCCCGUCAACCCCCGGGGGUUUAAAGGGAUGGUCCACCAACCAAAGGGAAAGGGGCCUCCAGACCAUAGACAUCUAUUCAUGUCCUGUAGGAAAAGAUAAAAGGUGUGAUGGGGGACCAGGAAACCACUGUUAUUACUGGGGUUGUGAAUCUACUGCCCCAUGGAAAAAUGGUGGUGGGGAGGAUGCAUAUUUGGCUUUAGAAUAACAAACACCAAGCAGUUCAUGUACCAUGGGAAAAUGUAAUUCCAUCAAGUUAACCUUAAAACAAUGGCAGACUGCAUAUAAAGAUUGGAAAAAAGGAAAACCUUGGACAGUGGCACUCAAUGUGGCUGGAAAAGACCCUAUGACAGACCUCAUCAUCCAGCGUAGCCCAGUACUAGUACUGCCCAAACUGAUGGGCAGCAUCUAUAGAGUCCCCAGCCCUCAAGGGAAUGAGGCCAAUACAACUUAUAAUAUGACACUGGCUGCUCCUGAAUGUCCAAUCCAGCCAUACCUAAAAACCCUUAAUGCCAUGUAUACUUUGUUAAAUAGAUCUGACUACAGUGUUACCCAAGGAUGCAGGAUGUGUUUGAGUCCAUGCCCCCUGUAUUAUGUAGGGGUGUCAGUAAAUGGCACCUACUCAGAAGCUAACCAAGAUGAAUGUGAUUGGAAACAACAGAAGUUGUCAAUAGGGGAUAUAACAGGAAAAGGGUUAUGUGUUAAAAAUCCAAGUGUUAAGUCUUCUUAUCUAGACAGUGUAUGCUCUUAUCAGGCACCCACUGCCAGUAAUGAAAAGUAUCUAAAAGCUGGAAACAAUACAUGGUGGGUGUGCAUGAAUGGUAUAACUCCUUGUUUGUCCAUGACAGUCUUUAAUCAGGAACUUGAGGUAUGCGCAAUGGUCCACACAUUGUCCCAAGUAACCAUAUAUGGAGGAGACCAGGGUUGGGAAUAUCUAGCUAAAAGGACACAUACCUGAGAGAAGCACCACCCAGCUUUGAUUCCCGUAUUAACUGCAACAGGCAUUGUGGGAUCAGCAGCUCUGGGUGCGACAGCAAUAGGAGUGCAAGACUCCAACUUCAAGACCCUUGCCCAACAGGUAAAAAUAGACUUAGGCCUGCUUACCGAGUCAGUGUCCCUUUUGGAAAAACAAGCUGACUCUCUGGCUGAGAUGGUCCUUCAACACCAUCGAGGUCUUGACCUCCUAUUCAUGAAAGAGGGAGGGCUAUGUGCAGCCCUAGGAGAACAAUGUUGCUAUUAUGCUAAUAAAUCUGGAAUAAUAAGAGAAACCCUGGCCACUGUAAAUAAACACCUACAAGAGAAAUAUGAUAGAUUAGAAAAACAGGAAGGAUGGUUCCCGUCGAUGUUUAACUGGUCUCCCUGGUUGACUACCCUUGUCUCUGCCCUUGCUGAACCUCUGUUAAUCUUGCUACUAGCUUUGACUUUUAGCCCAUGCAUUAUUAAUAAACUUAUGGCCUAUAUAAGGGCCCGGGUGGGAGCUGUUCACCUAAUGGUUUUAAACCAACAGGCUAGAUACAACCCAGUGCCAUUAGAAGAAGAAAGCUGCAUGUAGGAUUACUUGCUGUGCUAAAAUCAGUGGGGAAUGUGAGACUGAACAAAUGUUACUCCAUUUUGUAAUAAGGCCCCAUUUUGUCUGCUUCUGUUACACUUCACCAUGUGGACGUUGAGUUCCCAGAAUGUACUUGUUGCUGUUGCAAGGAAACCACAAGUUAGCCUUAUGCCUGUUAGGUAAAGAUUGGUUGCUACACUACCCCAACCGCCAACGUCUCACUUCUGUGCUUUUGCUUGCCAAGUUCUCUCUUGUGACCCCUAUAAAAAGACCUCAGUCCCUGAGCCGGGUGCCUCUCUAAGCUUGGUGCUUGGAGGGUGCCAUCUGGCCAGACUAAUAAAGGUCUGUU